rnacentral:rRNA from 1 species
UACGGGGGGGGCAAGCGUUGUUCGGAAUUACUGGGCGUAAAGGGCGCGUAGGCGGCCAACUAAGUCAGACGUGAAAUCCCUCGGCUUAACCGGGGAACUGCGUCUGAUACUGGGCGGCUUGAGUUUGGGAGAGGGACGCGGAAUUCCAGGUGUAGCGGUGAAAUGCGUAGAUAUCUGGAGGAACACCGGUGGCGAAGGCGGCGUCCUGGACCAACACUGACACUGAGGAGCGAAAGCCAGGGGAGCAAACGGG